rnacentral:lncRNA from 1 species
AAUCUUCCUUGGUUGGGGUCUGAGCAGAUUAUUUGUUGCAAUUGUAAACGCAAUGAAAUGGUGGUCCGAUAAUCCAGGAUUAUGAGGAAAAACAUUAAGAUCCACAACAUUUAUUCCAUGGGACAAAACUAGGUCCAGAGUAUGACUGUGGCAGUGAGUAGGUCCAGAGACAUGUUGGACAAAACCCACUGAGUCGAUGAUGGCUCCGAAAGCCUUUUGGAGUGGGUCUGUGGACUUUUCCAUGUGAAUGUUAAAGUCACCAAAAAUUAGAAUAUUAUCUGCUAUGACUACAAGAUCCGAUAGGAAUUCAGGGAACUCAGUAAGGAACACUGUGUGUAAGUAAGACUGAUUGCCACAGGAAGGAUGGCACAUUUGACCGGUCAAUACGGGAACUGUAAAACAAAAACAACAAAAAGAAAGCAGGAAAUGGCUCUUCAGUGUCAUGUCUGCUUCUGCUUUUCUGCCCGCAUCCGGUGGCCUGCUGGUCUGUGAUAUGUGCCAACUGAGGAAGUAAAAAGUUAACAAAAAACUGUGAACUUCCUUCUGACUAACAAACAUUGAGGCUGACAGAUGCAGUACCGUACAAUACAUCAUGAUUGUACCUCGUUAGAAUCAGUUGAUAUUCUGAGGAACUGGGCCUCUUUUGACACCCAAUGGCUAUCUAGUUUCAGUUGACAGCAUCCUCGCUGGCCAAGGAGAGAUCAGGGACUUCAUCCAGACCAAAUGGCACCUUAUAAAGUCUCUCUGUGGAGGUGAGAAAAUUCUUUGGCUUUCUUUAGGCAUGCACAUAUCUCCCGUUCUUACAUCCACUGAGAGGUUGCAAUCAACUGAAGGAGAGCUGAAAUCCCUAUGUGUGGAAAAUAUGAAUCCAUCAGAGAAGUUGGCUUGCUGACCCAGUGCUCAUCAUAAUAAUUUUAUGACCGCCCUACAGCUGCCUCAGUGGGAUUAAGCCUUGA